rnacentral:rRNA from 1 species
AGAAUCAACGCUGACGGCGUGCCUAACACAUGCAAGUCGAACGAGAAAGUGGGAGCAAUCCCACGAGUAAAGUGGCGCACGGGUGAGUAACACGUGACUAACCUACCCUUGAGUGGGGGAUAACCUAGGGAAACCUGGGCUAAUACCGCAUAAUACCUACGGGUCAAAGGAGCAAUUCGCUUUAGGAGGGGGUCGCGGCAGAUUAGUUAGUUGGCGGGGUAAUGGCCCACCAAGACAGUGAUCUGUA